GAUGAACGCUGGCGGCGUGCCUAAUACAUGCAAGUCGAGCGAACAGACGAGGAGCUUGCUCCUCUGACGUUAGCGGCGGACGGGUGAGUAACACGUGGAUAACCUACCUAUAAGACUGGGAUAACUUCGGGAAACCGGAGCUAAUACCGGAUAAUAUAUUGAACCGCAUGGUUCAAUAGUGAAAGACGGUUUUGCUGUCACUUAUAGAUGGAUCCGCGCCGCAUUAGCUAGUUGGUAAGGUAACGGCUUACCAAGGCAACGAUGCGUAGCCGACCUGAGAGGGUGAUCGGCCACACUGGAACUGAGACACAGUCCAGACUCCUACGGGAGGCAGCAGUAGGGAAUCUUCCGCAAUGGGCGAAAGCCUGACGGAGCAACGCCGCGUGAGUGAUGAAGGUCUUCGGAUCGUAAAACUCUGCUAUUAGGGAAGAACAAAUGUGUAAGUAACUAUGCACGUCUUGACGGUACCUAAUCAGAAAGCCACGGCUAACUACGUG
rnacentral:rRNA from 1 species